UGGGGAAUAUUGGACAAUGGGGGGAACCCUGAUCCAGCCAUGCCGCGUGUGUGAAGAAGGCCUUAUGGUUGCAAAGCACUUUAAGCGAGGAGGAGGGUACUGGUAUUAAUACUACCAGGUACUGGACGUUACUCGCAGAAUAAGCACCGGCUAACUCUGUGCCAGCAGCCGCGGUAAUACAGAGGGUGCGAGCGUUAAUCGGAUUUACUGGGCGUAAAGCGUGCGUAGGCGGCUAAUUGAGUCGGAUGUGAAAUCCCCGAGCUUAACUUGGGAAUUGCAUUCGAUACUGGUUAGCUAGAGUGUGGGAGAGGAUGGUAGAAUUCCAGGUGUAGCGGUGAAAUGCGUAGAGAUCUGGAGGAAUACCGAUGGCGAAGGCAGCCAUCUGGCCUAACACUGACGCUGAGGUACGAAAGCAUGGGGAGCAAACAGG
rnacentral:rRNA from 1 species